rnacentral:ncRNA from 2 species
GUGCUCGCUUCGGCAGCACAUAUACUA